AGAAUCAACGCUGGCGGCGUGCCUAACACAUGCAAGUCGAACGAGAAAGUGGUAGCAAUACCAUGAGUAAAGUGGCGCACGGGUGAGUAACACGUGACUAACCUACCCUGGAGUGGGGGAUAACUGAGGGAAACCUUAGCUAAUACCGCAUAAUACCCACGGGUCAAAGGAGCAAUUCGCUUUGGGAGGGGGUCGCGGCCGAUUAGUUAGUUGGCGGGGUAACGGCCCACCAAGACUGUGAUCGGUAUCCGGCCUGAGAGGGGCGCGACGGACGACGACUGGAACGUGAAACACGGUCCAGACUCCUACGGGAGGCAGCAGUCGAGAAUUUUCACAAUGGACGAAAGUCUGAUGGAGCGACGCCGCGUGGAGGAUGAAGGUUCUUGGAUUGUAAACUCCUGUCACUGCAGAACAAGGCUACAUUCGUGAAUAGCGCGUGUAGUU
rnacentral:rRNA from 1 species